GACGAACGCUGGCGGCGUGCCUAAUACAUGCAAGUAGGACGCACAGUUUAUACCGUAGCUUGCUACACCAUAGACUGUGAGUUGCGAACGGGUGAGUAACGCGUAGGUAACCUACCUAUUAGAGGGGGAUAACUAUUGGAAACGAUAGCUAAUACCGCAUAACAGUAUGUAACACAUGUUAGAUGCUUGAAAGAUGCAAUUGCAUCGCUAGUAGAUGGACCUGCGUUGUAUUAGCUAGUAGGUAGGGUAAAGGCCUACCUAGGCAACGAUACAUAGCCGACCUGAGAGGGUGAUCGGCCACACUGGGACUGAGACACGGCCCAGACUCCUACGGGAGGCAGCAGUAGGGAAUCUUCGGCAAUGGGGGGAACCCUGACCGAGCAACGCCGCGUGAGUGAAGAAGGUUUUCGGAUCGUAAAGCUCUGUUGUUAAGGAAGAACGAGUGUGAGAAUGGAAAGUUCAUGCUGUGACGACUAACCAGAAAGGACG
rnacentral:rRNA from 1 species